rnacentral:rRNA from 1 species
UACGUAGGUGGCAAGCGUUGUCCGGAUUUACUGGGCGUAAAGAGCGCGCAGGCGGUCGUUCAAGUCGCGUGUGAAAGCCCCCGGCUCAACUGGGGAGGGUCACGCGAUACUGAUCGACUCGAAGGCAGGAGAGGGUAGUGGAAUUCCCGGUGUAGUGGUGAAAUGCGUAGAGUAUCGGGAGGAACACCAGUGGCGAAGGCGAGUCUCUGGGCUGAUACCGAGCGUGAGGCGCGAAAGCCAGGGAGCAAACGGG